UACAGAGGUCCCGAGCGUUGUUCGGAUUCACUGGGCGUAAAGGGUGCGUAGGUGGCGAGGUAAGUCGGAUGUGAAAGCUCGGAGCUCAACUCCGAAAUGGCAUUGGAAACUACCUUGCUCGAGGGUUGGAGGGGGGACUGGAAUACUUGGUGUAGCAGUGAAAUGCGUAGAUAUCAAGUGGAACACCAGUGGCGAAGGCGAGUCCCUGGACAACUCCUGACACUGAGGCACGAAAGCCAGGGGAGCAAACGGG
rnacentral:rRNA from 1 species